CUUGAUAUCGUACAAAGCAAGAAUAUUUCAUACAUCGUCUCGCUUCAGAUUCUAUCAUUUUUAUAUAUCAAAGCUACAGGUUGACUUUAUAACAUAAAACCAUCAUAGUACUAAAAGAUGAAAUAUAUGGGUCAAGUGAAAUACCUAUCUAAUGAAUCACAAAAACAGAGUAGGUGUGUUCGAAUAGCUAUUUUUUUUACUGAAAG
rnacentral:lncRNA from 1 species